CUCCUACUCUUCCCAUAUUGUAGGGUCUAGGUCUCAAAAUUCAACUCAUACUAUUGCUCAGAUGCAGAGAGAAAGGUAACAGCUUCAUUUUGCCUGUGACAAAUCUGCUAUUUCUCUGGAGCCCCCAUCUGUUAGUAGCAGGAAAAUUAACAAACUGAAGACCCAAUUCAGUUUCAAUUUACUCUGGUCCAAUAACUUAAAUAGAGACUUUAAGAAUUGCCCAGUCCUUAGUGGGGCAUGGUGGCGGGUGC
rnacentral:lncRNA from 1 species